AUACGUAGGGUGCGAGCGUUAAUCGGAAUUACUGGGCGUAAAGCGUGCGCAGGCGGUUUUGUAAGACAGGCGUGAAAUCCCCGGGCGCAACCUGGGAAUGGCGCUUGUGACUGCAAGGCUAGAGUGCGUCAGAGGGGGGUAGAAUUCCACGUGUAGCAGUGAAAUGCGUAGAGAUGUGGAGGAAUACCGAUGGCGAAGGCAGCCCCCUGGGACGAGACUGACGCUGAGGUACGAAAGCGUGGGGAGCAAACAGGAUUAGAAACCCGAGUAGUCC
rnacentral:rRNA from 1 species